GUCCGAAAUCGCAUACUUCUUUACUAUAUAGUAUGGAAGAAGCAGUAUGCGACAAAUUAGUAUGUUUGAAUCUUUUGCGUUCAUAAAAGAGUAGGCGAGAAUUGCAAUAACUCUCGCGAGAUUCAGCUGUACGUAUAUUUAAUUUGCGUUCUAAUAUGACUACUCACCUACUAUAUAGUAGGGAAAAAGAGUAUGUGAAGAAAGAAGUAGGUUCGAAACCUUGAACCAUAAAACAGUAGGCGAGAAAUCUCCGGAUGUCCUACUGCUUCAGCGAAGAUUCUGAAGGGUUCAUCGAUGGAUACUUUUCAAUCCCAGAAUGCCACGCGAAAGGGAUAAAUCGUCAUCGAACGUGAAGGAGAGCAGCGUAGAGGGUGUUUGUAUUAUAAAACAAAACACGGUUCCCAUGUGAUAAAAUAGUAUUUGUUGAGUUACUGUAGAGUAAACUGUUGAUUUGUUAAGGUGUAAAGACGCUAGCAAGUAACAUUAUAGUAUAUUUGUAAUAAAAAAAACAACAACAAAACAUGUUUUAUUAUGUAAAGCGAACAGCGGAUCUCCAGUAAGCACAUGUACGUCUCCAAAGUGGAUUUGCAUGAACCAUAUACAUCUUAAAGACGAUUAAUUGUCUGUUUAAAAUGAGACAGAGAAAUAUUCUAAGAGAAUUGCAAAAGAGCAAAUCACAUGAACAGACAUUUGAGUGAGAGAUGAGCGUGUUAUUAUGUAGAAUCCACUGUCUACAUUGCUUUAGAAGAAUGUAAGUAAUGUAAAUAAAUAAAUCUACAUUAGGUAAACAUCAGUUAUCUAUUUCAUUUGACCAUUAGUAUUGUUGAUAAAUUGUGGAGCUCUUGUGUUGGAUGAAGUGAGUGAACACAUCAGCAUCUAUCUCAACAUGUAAAUGCAGUAUAUCACAGAUAAAUGACAGAGGAGACUGACUCUUGUCUGGAUGUUACGGGGACAGAUGAGACACACAUGUGUUUAUCUGAUGAAGAGAGACUGAUGAAGAAAUGCUGCCAUCAAAGACUCUCAAUCUUCUGUGGUGGAGCAGGUGACAGCAGCAUCUGUGGAAAAAACCUGAAACCAAAAUCUAAAGACCAGAUGCUACUGUGGUCUCUUCAUUUUCAGUGACCCCAGAGCCAGUGAGAACAUCUAGAGAAAGACCAAAAGACACUGAGGAUGUGAUUUUGGUCAACUUUAUUCUGCUGGUUUCUGUUCAUACAACAUCAGUCAAUAAAACCUGAGUUUCAGAAGUUUCUAAAGUAUCAUCAAAUAAUGUCAUGAAGAAUCUGGAAGUCAGGCUCCAUUGACUGAUACUGUAUGAACACAAACCAGCAGGAGAAACCUGACCAAAAUCACCUUUUGUGUUUGGACAAAGGAUUGAACAGAAUGAAGGCAAGUCAUUAAUGACUGAAUUUAUACGUU